GACGAACGCUGGCGGCGUGCUUAACACAUGCAAGUCGAACGGUGACGCACCUUCGGGUGCUGAUCAGUGGCGAACGGGUGAGUAACACGUGGGCAACCUGCCCCUGACUCUGGGAUAACUCCUCGAAAGAGGUGCUAAUACCGGAUAUCAUCCCCCUCGGCAUCGUGGGGGGUCGAAAGUUUUUCGGUCAGGGAUGGGCCCGCGGCCUAUCAGCUUGUUGGUGGGGUAAUGGCUCACCAAGGCGACGACGGGUAGCCGGCCUGAGAGGGCGACCGGCCACACUGGGACUGGGACACGGCCCAGACUCCUAGGGGAGGCAGCAGUGGGGAAUAUUGCGCAAUGGACGAAAGGCUGACGCAGCAACGCCGCGUGGGUGAUGAAGGUCUUCGGAUUGUAAAACCCUGUCGUCAGGGACGAAGGUUGGGGCCUUAAUACGGUUUCAACUUGACGGUACCUGGAGAGGAAGCCCCGGCUAACUCUGU
rnacentral:rRNA from 1 species